CUCAAAUUCUACUACAGGGAAUGAAGAAUCGCUCAACUGUGAGAUCUACCAUUACUCUAAGAACUAGUUACAUUCAAAUCCGUAGCUGUAUCCAAUUCCUUUUACUCUAAAAAUCUCCAUCAAUGACGAGUCGUGGGGCUUCUCAGGUUUAUUCGUAGGUUUUGGAUCUCUUUAGCCAAUAAAUAUUUAACAUUUUUCUCCUCUCUCCUGUUCCCACUUGUUCUUCCUCUCUGUGCCCAACAAUCAGGUAUGGGCUCUUCUCUCUCUCUCUGUCUCUCUAUGUAAGUUCAUCUCUGUAAUUAGAUGGGUAUGUGUGUAAUUUCCCAUGUUUGGGAUUUGGGUUUUCUGUGUGAUCCAUGUAUAUUGCCUCUGAUGUGUGGAUUUGAUGUUUUUUUUUUGGUUUAAUUUUGGUGGGUUUUUUUGGAUUUUAGUAGUUUGUAAUUGCUGUUACCUCUUAAUUUGGUGUAAAAAUUGGAACUUUGGUGAGUUUUUUUCCCCUUUUUUUUUCACCUUUUAGAUCCUUGAUAUCUCUGUGGGGCUAUAUUCUCAGAGGGAGUUUAAAAAUAAGGCUCUUCUUUAGAGAGAGAGAGAGAGAGAGAAGAGGGGGGGUGCAGGGCCCUAGGUUUUUUCAAGUUGGGUUUUUGCUAAUCAUGUGAACUGAGUUUAUGCAGGAUUUUGAGCUGAUUAUUGGAUUUAAAUGUUAAUUUUGUUUUGAACUCACUCAUUUGGAUCAACAAAACUCAGUGUUUUUGUUUAAAAAUGAAGGAAUCCUUUCGAUUUAUUGGGUUUGUAGUAAACUUAAUUAGUCAGCUAUAAAUGAUUCAAUGGAUUCUAUGGAUUCUUUACACAGCAUGUUGGUGAAGAAAUGUAGGUUCUGUUUCAAAUAUACUCAAGUCAAAUAUUCAGAAAUUGGAUCUUUCUCAUGUUUAUUCAGUGUUGUUCUUUACCUUGAUGUCCUUUUGAUGUGCAUUGGGGUGCUUACCAUUUCCAAACAAGCUUAAAUGUGAAUAAGUUCAAACUUAAGGGCUGAUGAAAUAUAACACAUUACUGAUUCUGGGACGUCUUUCCUGUGAGUAGUUAAACUACUUCUUAAUCAAUGUAGCCAACUUCGAAACUUUCACGCCUUCUAAUUGGUUCUGAAAUGCCACCAUUGUUCAGUGAUAUGACUAGAUUAGAGCUUGGAAGCGUGAUGUAAGUGUACGCUAAAAUAUAACAAAACAUCUCAGCAAUACCAUCGUGAAAUUUUUCUUAAACAACUUAGCUUAGCAUGUAUUCUUUCAUCCUUUUCUCUCUCCAUAUAUAUACAUGCAUAACUACAUUCCUAUACAUGAACAUUUCUUCAUAUAUAACAUUUCUUCAUAUGUCACUCAAUUGAGGGGAACUAUCACUAAGAGUGUCUCUACUCUUAGGUUUGAUGCGAGCAUGUUGUAAUGGCUAGUACAUUAUUCUGUGGGGUUUAUCACUAAGAAUGUCCACACUUGCAACAAAUUAUAAUGUUCAACCUAAUAGCUCCCAAAGAUAACAAUAUAGAAGCAGGAUUGUAAGCAGUGCAACGGUAUAUUGUGGCCCUUGAAUUGAUGGAAGAAACUGGCCUAUACAUAUGUGAAGGUCUCAACGUAUUCUUGCUGGUGGGGAUCAUAUAUAUAGAUGUGGCAAAUCUUCUUGUGGAGACUUGGAUACCGUUAUCACUCAUCCUGAUCGGGAAAGCCGACACAUCACAUACUUCUUUUCGUUUUUUGGUCCAGCCACAAAGGCUUUUUACCUAGGUACAUUCAAUAUUUGAAGGACAUCAACUUUCUGAGAGAGGAUCUUGUAUUUAGCACGCAUAGAACUGGUGCUUCAGAUGCAUCCGCUUCUCAUCUAUGAUGUUCAUCCAUGGGCUUAUUGUUCAUUAGAUCCCACCAACAUUAGCACCCAUUGAUGCAAUUGAGAGAUAUACUCAGAUCUCUAGUCAUCCCCUUCACAAGACUAAGAAGCCAGGCAUUUUAUCUGUGGAUAUCCAUCCUUUGAAGCUCUUAAUGCCAGUUGAACCGAAUAUCCAAGACAUAGGUGGUACUGAGAAAUUUUCGAAAAGAAAUACUUCAGAACAGCUGGAGCUGCGGAAAUUGAAGUGGGAAGCAAGAGUUCGAAAUUUAAUUUGAACUUAUGUUCGAAAUUUAAUUUUGAACAAGUAUUUUUUGUUUGAACUUAUGUUUGAAAUUUAAUUUGAAUUCUGAGAUUGUAAUUUGAGAGUUGA